rnacentral:rRNA from 1 species
CAGCACCUCAAGUGGUCAGGAUGAUUAUUGGGCCUAAAGCAUCAGUAGCCGGCGCUGUAAGUUUUCGGUUAAAUCUGUACGCUCAACGUACAGGCUGCCGGGAAUACUGCAGCGCUAGGGAGUGGGAGAGGUAGACGGUACUCGGUAAGAAGGGGUAAAAUCCUUUGAUCUAUUGAUGACCACCUGUGGCGAAGGCGGUCUACCAGAACACGUCCGACGGUGAGGGAUGAAAGCUGGGGGAGCAAACCGGAUUAGAUACCCGAGUAGUCC